UAACGAUAAUGGUUACACCCACCGGUAGC
rnacentral:sRNA from 1 species